rnacentral:rRNA from 1 species
GAUCAUGGCUCAGGAUGAACGCUAGCUACAGGCUUAACACAUGCAAGUCGAGGGGCAUCAGGAAGAAAGCUUGCUUUCUUUGCUGGCGACCGGCGCACGGGUGAGUAACACGUAUCCAACCUGCCCUUUACUCGGGGAUAGCCUUUCGAAAGAAAGAUUAAUACCCGAUGGGAUAAUCAUUCCCGGCAUGGUUUGAUUAUUAAAGGAUUCCGGUAAAGGAUGGGGAUGCGUUCCAUUAGGUUGUUGGUGAGGUAACCGG